CCGCACGCUGGCGGCGUGCUUCACCCCUGCAAGUCGAACGGAAAGGCCCUGCUUUUGUGGGGUGCUUGAGUGGCGAACGGGUGAGUAACACGUGAGUAACCUGCCCUUGACUUUGGGAUAACUUCAGGAAACUGGGGCUAAUACCGGAUAGGAGCUCCUGCUGCAUGGUGGGGGUUGGAAAGUUUCGGCGGUUGGGGAUGGACUCGCGGCUUAUCAGCUUGUUGGUGGGGUAGUGGCUUACCAAGGCUUUGACGGGUAGCCGGCCUGAGAGGGUGACCGGCCACAUUGGGACUGAGAUACGGCCCAGACUCCUACGGGAGGCAGCAGUGGGGAAUAUUGCACAAUGGGCGGAAGCCUGAUGCAGCAACGCCGCGUGCGGGAUGACGGCCUUCGGGUUGUAAACCGCUUUCGCCUGUGACGAAGCGUGAGUGACGGUAAUGGGUAAAGAAGCACCGGCUAACUACGUG
rnacentral:rRNA from 1 species